UUUGUAUUUGUUUCCUACCGCGGGAGCAGCUGUGUUGGGCCUUAAAACGCACCGGUUUAUGUUUCAUUUUGUCUCGUCAUCUACGACUCUCACCAUUUGAGGAUCUUCCGCAACCAAACAUAGUCUCCGUCGCUCCUAACUUACGCCCGAUGGCCUCCUCCGCUUCACCGAGCUCGGCCACGUCCGCCCAAAACCCUAAAAAGACUCUAGGGUUUAUAGCGAAUGCAAUGAAACGCAAAGAUAGCUUCAUUCAGUUCUUCGCAAUGACGGGGAUAUUGCUUUUGAGCAUCAGAUCGUUGGGUCAAAAGUAUCGUAUUCACGACCUCGAAGAAGACACGUUAGCCCUUAAGGAGGAGCGACAAACUCUAGCCGACCGCAUGAAGCACAUCAAGACCGGCCUGCUUCACGAAGCUUCCCUUGAUCCUACUGGCCUCUUCGCUUCUCGGCUCCGCCUUCUCUUCGGUGGCGACGAUUGACUGAUUGAUUACCCAAAAUGGCAUUGGAUGAGACCUAAAACAGCAUUAUUACGGGCUGAGUGGUUUGUGUGAGGAGAAAGGAUCGUGGAGAAUAUAGAUUUACAAAAAUUACAUGAUCAGCUGAAAAUUGUGAUACUGACAGGUGCGUAAAAUAGUUGAUUGAUUAGCUGGGAUUUUUAUCAUGGAACGAAAAUUUUUCAUGGUAGCUAUGAUGGCAAUUCGUGCUUGCAAGGCUUCCCUUGCCUUCUUGGGUGAACAAGCAGUGGAUCUUGCAAUUCGGUUGAUACCCUUUUACCUCGAGUGCUGAUUCUAUGUAGAUCCUCAUUCUUCCUUGUUAAGUGUUUGUGAGAUUGGAUGCAGCCAUGAAUUGAGUUGGGAACUCCAGACAAUUGUUCUUCUCGUAAAGGACAUUUGUGUUGUUUAGACAAGGAUGAAACCUGGAACUAAUCUGUGUGGACUUGCACCUCCAACAAGCAAGACUGAUAGAUUUCCGAAAUUUUAGCAGAUUAUAACCAAAAAAAUUAGAGACUGGCCCCAGUUUUUAUUCUUUUUAAUUAUUUCCAUUACUAUUAUUAUUGUAUAGAUUUUCCACGUUCUGGGUUGUCAUCUACUUUCUGCCAUAAAAAGUGGAGACAAUUGACCUGGCGAGGU